rnacentral:rRNA from 1 species
AACGAACGCUGGCGGCAUGCCUAACACAUGCAAGUCGAACGCCCCGCAAGGGGAGUGGCGAACGGGUGAGUAACGCGUGGGAACCUACCCAGCAGUUGGGGAUAACCGCGGGAAACUGCGGCUAAUACCGAAUACGUCCUGAGGGAGAAAGAUUUAUCGCUGUUGGAGGGGCCCGCGUCGGAUUAGCUAGUUGGUGAGGUAAUGGCUCACCAAGGCAUCGAUCCGUAGCUGGUCUGAGAGGAUGAUCAGCCACACUGGGACUUAGACACGGCCCAGACUCCUACGGGAGGCAGCAGUGGGGAAUAUUGGACAAUGGGGGCAACCCUGAUCCAGCAAUGCCGCGUGAGUGAUGAAGGCCUUAGGGUUGUAAAGCUCUUUUACCGGGGACGAUGAUGACGGUACCCGGAGAAUAAGCCCCGGCUAACUUCGUGCCAGCAGCCGCGGUAAUACGAAGGAAGGCGAGCGUUGUUCGGAGUUACUGGGCGUAAAGAGGGCGUAGGGCGA